CUGACGGCCAAACGUUUCCUAGACGUUGUCGUUACUGAUAAGAAACUACAUUUCCCAGAAUGCAGUGAGGGUAGCGACCGGGCUACACAGUAGAAACAGGGUUUCACCAUGUUGGCCAUGCUGGUCUCGAACUCCAGAACUCAAGUGAUCCGUCCGCCUCGGUCUUCCAAACUGCUGGGAUUACAGGCGUGAGCCACCGCGCCCAGCCUUUGGGGAAGUUCUUUUUACCGUCCAUCAUCCAUUGCCACCACACCUUCUGCUUACGAGUUAUUUAUAAUAAGUUUAACUAAAAGAGAACGAGAGAACAUCCCCUGAAACCCAAAGUUUGUCAUUCUAUACAGCUUUCCUGCCUGCAAAAGAGGAGGAGCAGACUCAUCCAGCAAAUCACCUAAAAAGUUUGAAGAUCAAAAAGCCUAGCUCCAGUUUCAGAUCCUUCCCCUACCUUUCUGAACACUAGUUUCUUCCUCUGAAAAACGAAAGAGGGAACGGGACCGUAGAGUGGAGUGGGCACAAGAAUCGCAAGUCCCUUCUGGCUAUGACGCUGCAAGACUCUAGGUACAGUUUAGGACUCCGGGCAUUCAGAUCCCCGGGACUUGUCAAGUUCUCCUCAUUGACAUUUUUGAUAUUUCGUGACAACACAAAUUCAUCACAUUUUUGUGCUGUGUGUUAUAUGUGGGAAGGAGAUUUUAAAAAGAUUGCCUUUUGAAGUUAUUGGAUAGCUGUGUUACAGAAGAAAACAUUGCCUUCAAGAAGUUAUUGGAUAGAUAUGUUACAGAAGAAAAGACGUUUGUUUCAUUUUUGACUUUGCAGGAAAAGAAUAUGUAACACAUCAGAAUUCUUCUCUCCUCCCUGGCCUUAGUCGAGUACCUGAGGGGCAUUAAAGCACUUCCUCCUUGCAAUCACUUACCCAGCAUAGUCCUUAAUACAGAUAUCUUCAUUGUUGAAUGAAUGAAAAAAAAAAAAAAAA
rnacentral:lncRNA from 1 species